GAUGAACGCUAGCUACAGGCUUAACACAUUGCAAGUCCGAGGGGCAGCAUGGUCUUAGCUUGCUAAGGCCGAUGGCGACCGGCGCACGGGUGAGUAACGCGUAUCCAACCUGCCUUACACUCUUGGACAGCCUUCUGAAAGGGAGAUUAAUACAAGAUGUUAUCAUGAGUAAGCAUUUUCGCAUGAUUAAAGGUUUACCGGUGUAAGAUGGGGAUGCGUUCCAUUAGAUAGUAGGCGGGGUAACGGCCCACCUAGUCUUCGAUGGAUAGGGGUUCUGAGAGGAAGGUCCCCCACAUUGGAACUGAGACACGGUCCAAACUCCUACGGGAGGCAGCAGUGAGGAAUAUUGGUCAAUGGACGAGAGUCUGAACCAGCCAAGUAGCGUGAAGGAUGAAGGUUCUAUGGAUUGUAAACUUCUUUUAUACGGGAAUAAACGGAUCCACGUGUGGAUUUUUGCAUGUACCGUAUGAAUAAGGAUCGGCUAACUCCGUGCCAGCAGCCGCGGUAAUACGGAGGAUCCGAGCGUUAUCCGGAUUUAUUGGGUUUAAAGGGAGCGUAGAUGGGUUGUUAAGUCAGUUGUGAAAGUUUGCGGCUCAACCGUAAAAUUGCAAUUGAUACUGGCAGUCUUGAGUACAGUUGAGGUAGGCGGAAUUCGUGGUGUAGCGGUGAAAUGCUUAGAUAUCACGAAGAACUCCGAUUGCGAAGGCAGCUUACUAACCUGUAACUGACAUUGAUGCUCGAAAGUGUGGGUAUCAAACAGGAUUAGAUACCCUGGUAGUCCACACGGUAAACGAUGAAUACUCGCUGUAGGCGAUAUACAGUCUGCGGCCAAGCGAAAGCAUUAAGUAUUCCACCUGGGGAGUACGCCGGCAACGGUGAAACUCAAAGGAAUUGACGGGGGCCCGCACAAGCGGAGGAACAUGUGGUUUAAUUCGAUGAUACGCGAGGAACCUUACCCGGGCUUAAAUUGCAACCGAAUAUGGCGGAAACGCUAUAGCUAGCAAUAGCGGUUGUGAAGGUGCUGCAUGGUUGUCGUCAGCUCGUGCCGUGAGGUGUCGGCUUAAGUGCCAUAACGAGCGCAACCCUUGCCGAUAGUUACUAACAGGUUAUGCUGAGGACUCUGUCGGGACUGCCAUCGUAAGAUGUGAGGAAGGUGGGGAUGACGUCAAAUCAGCACGGCCCUUACGUCCGGGGCUACACACGUGUUACAAUGGGGGGUACAGAGGGCUGCUACCACGCAAGUGGAUGCCAAUCCCAAAAACCUCUCUCAGUUCGGAUUGAAGUCUGCAAACCCGACUUCAUGAAGCUGGAUUCGCUAGUAAUCGCGCAUCAGCCACGGCGCGGUAAAUACGUUCCCGGGCC
rnacentral:rRNA from 1 species